GAAGAAUCCAGCUAUUUCAUUGGCUGCUUCGUAACCGACGUCAAAGGUUCGGGCCAAUGAGAAUAUUCCUCUUGUCUUUUCGAAGAUGGUUUAAGGUUUACUUCAGAUGCUCCAUGUCCUCCAUCGUUCAUCGUGUGUUUCCUGACCCGAGGAACCGCUGUCAUUGUGAAUCGGCUGAUGUGGAGAUGUAAUACGGCGAUAUUAAGGACCGAGUGAGAAUUUUCUGUUACCAGAGUGUCGGGGUCACAAACUCCAGUCAUACGGCGUCGAGUUCGGUUGGACAGGAAAUUAUGCCAUGAGAGCGUAGAUGUCACCACCAUGAAGGACAAGUUGCUCGUGCGGGACGCUGUCCCUGUGAGUCAUGGAUUAGCAAUCCAGGAGUCAGACUCCCACCUUGUCCACCUGGAUGCGAAGCGUCAUUAUCCAUCAGAAGUUGCAUCGUUUGGAAUCUCCUGUGGCACGGACAAUGAUUUCAAGUCACUGCUGAAUAAUGUGGAAGCUCUGCCUUUGAAGGAGGAUGGAGAAAACAGUGACAAUGACAUGUUUGUCGAGUACGAGUACGAGUACGACAGCAUUCUUCACGAUUCCAACUUCUGCAGCAUGGAGGAGGAAUUCGGGAUUCAACGUGAUGAUGAAACUCGUGUCGAAGACUUUUCGAUAUCUCCGCAGAUAUUAGGAUCAGCUGAGAAUGCGGAGAAAUCGAUGGACAACAAUGUUGGGAAACGCAAAAUUGUAUCUCUGGAAUGCAACACCGAAAGGAAACAUUGCCUAUUGAUAACCAAGCCAGAGAAUGAGGGCAAUCGUUCUGCUCAACAGUGUGUACAAAGUGGUGCACAAAGGGAUUCAAUUACAGAGGAGUGCAUCAGGGAUGUUCAUAACGCUGUAAGCCAUGAUACUGUAGAUACAGUGAAGUCUUUGCACCGUGGUGAAGAAUCCGAAAUGACGUCUAGUGACGGCUUGACUGGGGUUAACAAUGGGGUGAGAAAAAAAGAAAAUGAUCUUCCCAAAAUACUUCUGAAAAAAGAUAAAUUAAUUGAUAACAAAUGCAUAAAUCUGAACAACCAAAGCAGGGUUGGUGCUUGCGGUUUGCUGGAAGGAAGAAGCAGAAACCUCAAAACAGCAGAAGUACCAAGUGUGCAGACCACAGUCAAGCGCAAAACUGCCGACACCGUGCCCGUGGCUGCGAACAACGACACCGUGUCCGUGGCUGCGAACCAAAAGGAGUAUCGGCGAUAA
rnacentral:lncRNA from 1 species